UAUGCUGGUUGUUGGCACCACUGAAGUAGAUAGGGGAAUGUUUGCAUCUCCCUCUUGCCUUCCCCUUGCCCCAUUUUCAUCAUAGUCUUGUGUGCCUCUGUCACCUGGCUUCAGUUAGAAAUACAAGAAUAAACAGGAAAAUUACUUGCAGCAAAUAGUUUGAGAAUCAACCCACCUGUUGCCUGCCUGAACCAAGAACCAGAUCUCAGAGAAGGACUGUGCCGUACUAGUUGGUUGCAGAUCUACUAGGAUCCUAACAUUGAGGGAGAUCUAACAGGAAAAGGGCCCUUGCCAUGAGAGUGGGACUGUUACCUGUUAGUGCAGUCAAGAGCCUGUGGGUCUGACAGCUGACAUCAACAGAAAUUCUCCAUUCAGGCUGAGCAGGUCAAGUAAUGUUUCUUAGCACAGCUGUGUAAUGUGUCUGUUGGUAAUUAAAAGAGUCUGCUAGAGCUGGUUAAAAAAAAGCAUAAAGUGAAGCAUUUUCUAUCAGAAUAUAGUUUUGUAAAGAAUUAAAACCUGUACAAUGAGUAUGCCUUGUAUUAGAGGAAAGUAAUUAUUUUUUUAAAGAGGAAAAAGAAAUCCAACACUGAAACAGUCUCUUCUUGGCUUAUUUUAGACGCAAACUUAAACAAACAACCCUAAAACCAAAAAUGGAAGUGUUGCAAAACGAAAAUAAAACUUCCCUUUUCUAUAAUGUCAGUUUUAAAUUUGGGGAAGGGACUUAUUCUGAUUUGACACAUUGCCAGUUUCUGAAACCAGACAUAAAAUGACAUUCUCACUUGGGAUCUGACUUUCCAUUUGCAUUUGUAGAUGCAAGGUACAUUUUUUAGCCCUGAUUUGCUACACUAAUCCUGUUGACUUCGCUUGAAAAGAAUGGCACGUUUCCCACUAACUUUAUUAGUGGCAGGACUGGGCCUUGAUGCAAUACCUCAUGUCACAGCAGCAAAACUUGUUGCCAAUAGUCUGUCUCAAGGGAGGAGAUUUCCAGUAACUGCUCCCUGAGAACUAUUCUAAAAAUGCAGCUUUUUUCUGUCCAGCCAUCGGGAUAAUGAUAUACUCCAUCCCUAAAGAGAGGGGCAUUGACGGAGCUGCAUUGAUGGCACCAGAGGUCCCUGCUGGCUUGUUCACUAAACAGAACUGGCAACUGACUCUGAAGAUAAAAGUUCUUGACGUUUUUCCAAGCUGGUGGAAUGGAGCUGAGUGACACUUAGAAAUAAAUAGAGGAGGGAAUAGUAUGAUCUUGAAUGACAGAGGAGCUUUCAUGAAGGGUUUUCAUGGGGGAAACGUGGGAUGUAAUGUUCCAGGCUUGAGUCUAGGGGAUUUGCUGACAGUUGGAUAAUGUGCGUGUUUGCUACCACUUGUAUGAAAUGUAGAGGGAAACAAGGGGAAAAGCUCCAAAUGAAUCUUUUCUUCCCAGUUAAACAGUUAAACCCAAAUACAGUAUAUAUCUCUUCCUUCCCAAUAAUUGACUCUACAAAUUGCCAAUCUCUUUGGAAAUCUCUUAGAAGAACAUUCUCUCUCUCGACAAGGAAAAGUACUUCAUGCAAAACAUUUGUCACUUGUCUGUUAUCAUAACUCAUGAUCUUAUUCUUCAUUCCCUUGCUUGUUUAAGCACACAGAAGUAGUACUUUUAACCUGAGACUUCAAAGGUAAAAAUAUUGUGAAGAGGUCUCCAUU